AAUUAUGAAAAUUCAAAUGUGUCAAGCUGAUACUGCUGGUCUAUGCAAAAUAAUAAAGCAGGGGUCAAACACUAGUUAACGACACAAUCACGUAAAAUAAAUGGGAGGAAAGGCGAAAAUAUGACAAGUCGAAGAGUUAACAAAUAUAGGGUCUAAUCAUGUGAGUUUUAUGUAAAGACUACAGCACAAAAGGUAAUCGAUGCAAUUCAAGAUAAAUAGCAAUAUAACUGAGGAUAAAUUUAAACAAUGACUUUCCUUUCGUUCGUUUGAAGAAGCUGCGUCCAAUCAACUAGAAUGAAAGAGGCAUCUGAAAAAUGAUGUUAGAAAAAUAACUUUUUUUCCCUUUUUUUUUUUAUUUUUUUUUUACUUCCUCUUUUCGAUUUUUUUUUUUUAUCCAAACAAAGUUAACUAAACACUGUACAAACAAACAAGGCAUAACCAAGUCUAAUUCACAAACUAGGUAUAUAACACUGUGAGACCCAAACACAGUGAGACAAAUCACGUCUGUAGCGUCUAGAAUGUCGAUUUCCCGGGGGCAAUCAGCAUCAAACGGAGGUGGGAGUGUAUAUAUGUGCAAGCGACGGGACUCGAGGUGGUGGUGUGGGUGUCGUCUGGCGAUGGUGCGACUGCAGCGUGGGUUUUCUGUGGUGUUGUAAAUGCCGUCAAUGAAAUUUCUGUGGGUUUUCGUCGAUGAUGGAAGAAAGUCGACCGGGGUUAGUCAGAAACAAGGAUAAAUUUAUGGGCUCUGUAGAUGACGGUAUGUGGGUUGUUAAAUUCUGUACCUUGGAUUGUGGUUGAAGUAUUCAAUUACUGGUCAUAUGUCGUGGGUUACCAGCAGAUUGGUGGGGUGUGUGUCUUGAUUGUAUGUAGUUGGGGUAGUUUUAGAAGUGGAUGAAGAUGUGGGGGUUACUGUGGCGACAGUUUGGAAUCAGAUUUGGUGUAAUGGGUCUCAAAAUAUUUGUAUAGAAGUCGUUGGCUGCAAUUUGGGUGUUAAGUAUAUAUGCAAUGGGCUAUUGGACUUUUGGAAGUGCUCUGGUUUUGUCGUGUUGAAGAUAAUGGUGAGAGUUUCGGUUUGUAGUUAUAGAUAUAUUGGACAAACAAUUACAGUUGCCGCUCUUUCUGAUAAAUGACCCAGAUUUAUCUUAAUAACUUUACAAAGUUUGCGGAAGAAGAAUUCAGCAGCCUACCGGUUGGUUUGGAGAGAUGUUAAUGCUAGGAAUAGUGGGAGUUUAACUGGUAUUAUUGAACAGCAAUUUCCAUAACUCAUGAUUGCAGUUGGCUUGUCGAACCAGGAAAAUAAUGCAAACUUGGAUGAAGUAGUAGCUCUUACCAGAUAACUUCAGGGACAAAGAUUCAUCCUCCCUGUUGUAUAGCUCAAUUGUUUCACCAUCCCCGGUACAUGCAUGGAUAAGCAACUAGGUCAAGAAAACCGCGGAGGUAUAUCGUUCACUAAUUUGGGACAUUCCAUUUCAAGAGAGAGAUGUCUGAUUGGACAUAGGGGGUUCAACUUUUCAAUAUCAUUACUUCUGAUACAUAUUUGGGGAUCAAUUUUUUUAUGCCUACAGGUUACACACUAUCUAGGUGGAGAAAACUAUGUUUUUUAGGCUGGUCGAGAGGGUUAUCAGACUUUUUUGAACACACAUAUGGAAAGAGAGCUUAAUCAUAUGGUAAGAUUAUUGCAUGUCUUUUAGUUGCAAGGGUGUGUAUCGGCUUAUGAUUCUAAUUUCUUACAACGGAUGGCUAAUUCUUUAUGAUUUCUGAAGAAAUUAAAUUAAAAUAUUACGACACUAGAGCAUAUUCAGCCAUUUGUUUCUUAAUUAUUCAAUGCAUAUAACCACAAGAAAACCUUUGCAGUUUUCUUUUCCUUCUUUUAGUAGGACAUUGAAUUCAUGGUAUGCUCAAUUUUACAUAAUUAAAAAACACUAGUAUUUUCCUUUUUUCCCCCCUUUUCAAGUGCUUUAAACUGGAAAUUGUGUAUAGAAAUACUCUCCUUAUAACGCAUUUUUCUCAUGCUAUGUAUGACUGGGAUGCUGCAACAGCAGCUAACUUCCUACGAAAAUAUGGUCUCAUAGGUAAGACAUUUGUUGUGAAAUAUUCAAAAUGCAGUUUGUAUCUCUUAUUUUCAAGUUAGGUCCUUAUAUAUUCUCAAAUCGAGCAUCCAAGUUCGCUUUUCUGAAGGUUUCUGUUUCUCAUUUUAGUUAGCUCGCCACCACCUAUGAAUUAUAUUCAUCUAUCGAACUAUAUGGUGGAUGGGUGGGUGUUUCUUCUGGCCAAUUGAUGGAAAAGGAAAGUUUUAAAAGAAAAACACAGAGAGAGAGAGAGAGAGAGAGAGAGGGGUACUAUGCUUAAAAUUUAUGUCAAUAUUCAAUGCUAACUUGGUGCAAAUUUUGGGAAUGCACUUGAUAGCCAAACUGGUGCAAUAGAUUCAAUGCUAAGGAAAUGAAUUGAUACAUUUGGACGAUAAACUUCCAUCAACGGCGGUAUAACGAGGCAUAGCUGGACUGACAGAUAUAAGGCACAUUUAUCGGAUAAUAGUUGUAGAAGAGAAGGACAGACCUGGAAAGGAAGGUAAGUAUUGAAUUAAGUGUUUGCCAUUAAUUAUUUCAUUUUUUAAUUUCUGUGAUGAAGAGAUUUUGUGGUUUUAAUUCCUGUUUCUUCACCUCCAUUUUCCCAAUGCAUUUGAUGAGGCUGAUUCAAUCUUUUUACAGUUUAUUUAGGAGGAUAUGACAAAGAAGAAAAGGCUGCUGGCACUUACGAUUUAGUAGCAUUAAAACACUGGGGAUAUACACUAUAAGUUUUCCACAGAGUUCUUGAAUAUUAAUGUUUGACCCUCUUGAUUUCUUUGCCCUGUCGAGAAAAAUACCAAAUGAAAGAUUUUUUAAUUUUAAUUUUUUUUUAAUGACCAUGGGUGUUCACGCCAACUUACGCACACCUUGACUAAUCUCACGGGGCUCUAAAGUUUACAACCGGGUACUCACCUCAGUGGUCCUGAGGGGACCCGAACUGGUAAUCGUUGGGGAGCAAACCCAAGACCUGAUUACUGAGCUACUGCUCAAAGUUUAAAUGAAAGAUUAUUAUACAUGAUAAGUAACAUUUUUAGUUUAUUAUAAUCACGUCUCAUAUAAUAUCUUCAUCGAUAGACAUCACCAGCAUGGAAUAUGGCAAGCAAGGAUUGGAAGAGUUGCUACUAACAAAGAUCCUUGCUUGGGAACCUUCAGUAUUCUAAUGGCUUGUUUGAUAAACUAAACUGGACUUGAAUACAUACAUAGUAUAAGAGUAUCUUAAACUUUUUCUUCUUUUUCGGAUUCCAUGGACACAAGGAAGCAACAGAAACAUACGACAUUACAGUCAUUAAAUUUCGAGGACUAAAUGUGGUGACUAAUUUCAAAAUAAGCAAAUAUGACGUGAAAAGCAUAAUGAAAAGCAGUACAUUGCCAAGUGGGAGUGUUGCUAAAUGUCUCACGGACGUAGAAAAUACUGGAAUGGCUUUAAAUAUACGAAGAAGAGCUAAUAAUGGAAACCCUAAUUCACAUCAAGCAGAUGGACUAAAUGGCUACAGUAAUAGCUGGCCUAAAACCAUAGGAUUCCAUCAAUCGCAGCCAUUAAACAUGCACUACCCAUAUGCUCAACAAAGGUACUGUUAUGAUAAAAAAUUGCUUCCUCGUAUCUUUGAUAUGUUUUGUCAUCCUUCCUUUCACGGUACUUCCAAUAAAAGUUGUGCAAUAUUUGUUGGAAAAAAUUAAUUAGCUGCAGUAGUGAUCUGAACAAUAUAAUGCAGAAAUAUAAAACUUAUCGUCCGAUCGAGUCUCGUGACAGCACGAUGUCCUAAAGUGAAAUUGUCCGUCAAUAAUUGCUGCGACCUCCGUGGACAAUCACUCCCAGGAUACAACGAUCUUAAACCACUUGUGCAGCAAUCACGAAUGGUUUUUCUAGAAUUCUCAAUUGUACUCCAGAAUAAAUGUAAAACCCGAAUAUAAGAAAUUCAGAAUAUGAAAAGGAGGGUUGAUGCAAGAUGAUUUUUCUAUUGUCUUUUUGUGUGUAUUUUUCCAAAAACGAGAUAUGGGUUUAUAUAUGCAAGAUGGUAGUAACAAUCUUCAUCAUGUUAAUGCAGAAUUUUAAUGACUGAGUAGUGGGUGUUUUAAUGGCUGUUAGUGGGUUGUUAUAAAAACAAACAGUCAUAAAAUACUGGUUAGUUUUACCCAUUAAAAAAGAAAAAAAAUAUUUAUUUUAGUCAAGAAAGCCCAAGAGCCAAGGCCCCAAUCAAGACAUUUUAAUAUCUGCGUGGGGAGUGACUCGAACCCCUGACGUCCCACACAAAUGUCAUAUUUUCCACCACUUUGGCACUUUAUCUAAUUUGGUUAUUUCUUUCACAUUUUAUAUUUAUACCAUAAAUAUAUAACAGUAUUUACAUGUACCACUUCCGAUUACUACAGUAUGCGAAUGUAGAAUUAUAAAUAUAAAUUGUGCAUAGCUAAAAAUAGCUUAGAUCCGUGUUCAGAUUGAACUGAUGAAUUUCAUACGGAUUAGAUUGGCUGUCCUAUUUAGAUUGAAUUUAAUAUAAUGGAUCUACUUGAAAAUGUUGGCCAGUUUGCUGCCGCCACUAAUAAAGAAAUCAAUACCCACAUACCAAAUUACGUGAGUUUGCUACCCCAGUUGCUCUGCCAACUCCACAGUAUUACAAUGUAUGUUAAGUUUUUCAACUUUAUAUUUUACUCAUUCUUGUAGUCUUCUUGUGAACAUCUUAUGGAGAAUUCUUAGACAUAAGACAGUUGUGUUUAUUUGGUAAAAUUUAGGCAGAUGUUGAGACCGAUGAAAUAUAUGCUCAGAUGACCCUGCAGCCCCUGACUUCAGUUCCUGUCAGCUUAAUUAUAUGGUUAUCAAUUUCACUAGCUACAAUUAACAAAAAAGUAUAGGCCAUGGUUAGCUGGUUUGCAUCACCACAAUUUUAUUUGAUUUUCUUUUCGUAGAACAUGAAAUAAUUUCUGGUUGUUAUAUCCUCGCUAGUCGUUAUCUUAGAUCUGGUGGUGCUUCUGCAUCUGUAGAAUUCAUAUAUGAUACCUCUUUGACUGCCUUACAUUCAUAUCUUGGAGGUAUGUAUCUUUGAUAUAUGCCUCCUUAAACUUUUAUUCAGGGAAAAAUAUCAGAGCUUUAAUUAUCCACUUUUUUGUAAGAGGUUGAGAACACUCGCAACAGCCUGGCUUUCUUGGAUGGAGGUGCUGUAUUGUCCCUUUCUCUGUUCUUUCUUGAAGAAGCCAGAAUUCCCCUAGAGUAAUUUUACCUAAUUUUAUAGCAUUCAACAAUCAUCGAGACUAGUUCAUGCUCCCUAUUCUAUUGGACGUCUUUACUGGGAUGGUAAUACUGGGAAGAUAAAGUGUGCAACUACUGGUACAACUGUAGAGGUACAAAAUGGAACAUUUCUUCCCAGUUCUUUUGUUUCAUCCCUCUAAAAUUGACUUAUUUGCCAUCAAGUUAGGUUACAUGUAAAGCAUAUCUAUUUUAUGUUUUCUUGAUUUAUUUGUUUAAAUAUAACUAAGAUUCCAUGACUUUGUGAAUGGGAAAGAACAAUUCUAAGUGUAGUUCUAAUUCUUACUUUACAAAGAGUGACCUGCCAGUAUCUGCAUCUACAUUUUUUUUUUUUUUAAAUAGACUACAAAUAUUACUUUUAUGUUUCUUUUAGGAAUUAGUUUCAUGGAGUAUGCAACAUUUUAUAGUCGAAACUUAUUUCUUUUACUUUUGCUAUGCAUUUCUACAGCAUACUGUCAACAUUCCUACAAAGAGAAUAAACAUAUUUCAAAAAUUAGGUACAAUGAGAGAGUAUGUAAAUUAUCAAAACUUAAGAUACCGUCUAUUAUCUAUCACCUUGUAUGCUUUGGGAUACAUGUAAAUUCAAACAAAUACAUUGCUUUUUUAAUAUAAUUAAGGAGGAAAAUUGAGGUUAUGUUUGUCAUUUAUUUAUCUUUACUUGCUAACAACUUUCACGAUAAAUUAGUGUGGCAUGAGGUUUUACAUUAGUUUGAUUAUGUUAAAGAAUGUUCAUGAAGAAGUUGAUUAUGUUAAAGCAUGUUCAUGAAGAAGAAAAACUUGAAAUUCUUUUAAAUGAAUGGCAUGGCUGAUUUAAACAUUUAUCCCAGGAACGUGGUACAAUAUGUUCCUUCGAACUCACUUGUCUAUGUCUUCACAGUUUGAAAUUGCUCCUAUACCCUUUUUCCUCAUCUAAUAAUCAUAAUCCAAUAUUUUGAUUACUUUAUGAUGCCCCAAAAUGCAAAGGUAUGCAUGUGAAGAGUACGUGAGUCCAACAUAUCCCUUAAUAAGAAACCUAAUUUUGCAUCUGCAAUAAUUACAAUCAUGAUUAGCAACGUAGAUAAGCGAUGCGUAUAUUCUACUUCACUGGUAUUUUUUAUGCGCUUUAUUCAUAAAAUAUAACCCACAUCAUAAAUGAAUCAAAUAUCGAGCAUUAACACCAGUGCAACAAACUAUGGAAGGGACUUGGGUUUUGAUCUCGAGGAGCUGCGGCUAACGGUAGGAUUAUGUAGAAACACAUCAGCAAGCAUGGCAUCAGAACAUGGUUCUUCACAAUGCAAAAGGAAAUGAAACCAGACGCUUGUAUUAAAAUGGAGGGAAAUCGGUUCCUUGUAUUUCUACUUGAAGAAAUGUAUCAUUACGAUUGUAAUAGAGGCUGAAAUAAAAUCAUAGGCCUUUCUUCUAAUUUAUCACAUUUCCUGAAGUUUUUUUUAGUUGUUUAUUUCAAAUCAUGGAGUCUCUAAGACUCUAACUGUAAAUGUGGGGACAGAAAAGUAGUACUGCACUAUGCCCGGCCUUGUCGCACAUCUAAUCAUAACAAAUUAUUUACAAUGUAUUGCUGAUGUAUAUAACUUGUAUGUAUUGCUGAUGUAUAUAACUUGUUGCCUUGCUCUCUUCAA